GACGAACGCUGGCGGCGUGCUUAACACAUGCAAGUCGAACGGAAAGGCCCUGCUUUUGUGGGGUGCUCGAGUGGCGAACGGGUGAGUAACACGUGAGUAACCUGCCCUUGACUUUGGGAUAACUUCAGGAAACUGGGGCUAAUACCGGAUAGGAGCUCCUGCUGCAUGGUGGGGGUUGGAAAGUUUCGGCGGUUGGGGAUGGACUCGCGGCUUAUCAGCUUGUUGGUGGGGUAGUGGCUUACCAAGGCUUUGACGGGUAGCCGGCCUGAGAGGGUGACCGGCCACAUUGGGACUGAGAUACGGCCCAGACUCCUACGGGAGGCAGCAGUGGGGAAUAUUGCACAAUGGGCGGAAGCCUGAUGCAGCAACGCCGCGUGCGGGAUGACGGCCUUCGGGUUGUAAACCGAUUUCGCCUGUGACGAAGCGUGAGUGACAGUAAUGGGUAAAGAAGCACCGGCUAACUACGUG
rnacentral:rRNA from 1 species